UACAGAGGUCCCAAGCGUUGUUCGGAUUCAUUGGGCGUAAAGGGUGCGUAGGCGGUUUGUCGCGUCUGCUGUGAAAACUCGGGGCUUAACUCCGGGCCUGCAGUGGGUACGGGCAGACUAGAGUGCGGUAGGGGAGACUGGAAUUCCUGGUGUAGCGGUGAAAUGCGCAGAUAUCAGGAGGAACACCGAUGGCGAAGGCGGGUCUCUGGGACAGUACUAACACUGAGAGGCGAAAGCGAGGGUAGCAAAUGGG
rnacentral:rRNA from 1 species